UUUAAGUGUAACCAUGAAUUUUCGUGUCUAAUUUUGAUCGUCCGUCUUAUUUGAAAACUUUUUAUAAUUAGUAUUUUUAUUGUUAUGAGAUGAUAAAACAUGAAUAGUACUUUAUGUGUGACUUAUGUUUCUAAAAUUUUUCAAAUAAGACGGACGAUCAAAGUUGAACACGGAAAAUCAUGGCUGCACUUAAA
rfam:Oryza glumipatula chromosome 1, whole genome shotgun sequence.